rnacentral:rRNA from 1 species
CCUGCCUGUAAGUUGGGGAUAACUCCGGGAAACCGGGGCUAAUACCGAAUGAUAAAGUGUGGCGCAUGCCACGCUUUUGAAAGAUGGUUUCGGCUAUCGCUUACAGAUGGGCCCGCGGUGCAUUAGCUAGUUGGUAGGGUAAUGGCCUACCAAGGCAACGAUGCAUAGCCGACCUGAGAGGGUGAUCGGCCACACUGGGACUGAGACACGGCCCAGACUCCUACGGGAGGCAGCAGUAGGGAAUCUUCCGCAAUGGACGAAAGUCUGACGGAGCAACGCCGCGUGUAUGAAGAAGGUUUUCGGAUCGUAAAGUACUGUUGUUAGAGAAGAACAAGGAUAAGAGUAACUGCUUGUCCCUUGACGGUAUCUAACCAGAAAGCCACGGCUAACUACGUGCCAGCAGCCGCGGUA